GAAGAUUUCUACGAAUGGGACAAACUGAAGAUUUCUAAGAAUGGCUCCAGAAAGUCAUUAUGCAAACAUGAAAAGAAGGGGGAGAGGGGGGAGAAGGGGAAGGGAGUGGGGUGCAAAAGUAAGCAAGCAAACACACACACACCGGCUCAUUUUAGUUAUUAGAGGACAGAAAAGAGAGUGUAGAUCAGUGGUCAGAAGCAGAGAAAUCCUAUUUUAUAAACUGUGCAGCCUGAAGGGCAAACAGGCAAUACAAGACCGGGGAAAAAAAAAAAGAAAGAAAGACUGUACAACAAGGAAAUGAAAGCAGCAUUAAGAUGUCCAUGAAAAAUCUCUGCCAAGUGCUUGAAAGGUAGUUAAUCAUAGAGUUAUUUAAAACAAAAUUAAAAAUUAUUGGUAAUCCAAUACAAUUAGAAGGCUGAUCAACAUCAUCAUCAGGACAAGGAAAGCAAUAUUUGCUUGACUCUCUACCUAUUUAUUUAUUUUUCAGUGGGGAAGCACCGAACAUUCGGCUUGUCCCCUUGGCUUCAAACACAGUUUUCCUCGCAUAUAGAAGAGCACGCCAGCAGAAAUCAAUUUAAACAGCACCAAGACAUAGAUUGGAAUAGGGGAUACAGGUAGUAUUACUUCUCACUGCACUUUUCAGUACCAAACGUGGCUGUUUAACCAACACUGGGACGAACGGGUACAGAGCAGCACUCCUUACCACACCCGGCUCUGAAUGCAAGUCCAGCCAGCUCACCCCUCACCCCAGCCGGUCCUUACCUCUUCUGCACUCUGCCUCCUUCCUAACCCAGCAGCCCUCGCCGCCAUCUUUCAGAUCCCUCCUCUGCCUUCACGUCUUUCCGGACGGUUGGACUAGCUGAUCUUAGUAGGCUUUUCUAAUUUUACUGAUUCUAUGAUCUCGUUCUAGUGGCAGCCUUCUUUUACACACACAGUUAUUUUCGACACCUCACCUUGUUAGGCGCUUUCCUACCUAACGCCUCUUCAAGAACUAAAACCACGCGUUAAAAUACGUAUUACGUUAAGAUCAUUCAUCAAUUCCUGAUCUAUCAGGUGGAACCAACGUGAGUACGAGAGGACCGAGCGUCCGCCACCCCGCAGCAGCCGCUCCUCAACGUGAGGGGAGGCGCGAGGCGAGGGCGCAGUAACGGCCGUUUCCUCCUCCUCCCGCCCUGCAG
ensembl:lncRNA